UUUCAGACUUCAAGCUACUUGCACUACUGUAAAGUUUUCACUACUUGGAACAAUAAAAAUUACAGAAAUCUCAAAGGUAAGAUAGCAAGAACUGUCCGUCUUUAUCAACAACACAACAGGAAUGAAGGUGAGAUGUGAUUACAGAUGCCUCUCUUGUAAAGAAGCCAGAAGAGAGAGAAUUAAGCAACGAGUCAGUGCUAGUUUGAUUUUUUGCAUCAACACAGCAUAAGAGAAAGAAGGCAGAGUGUGGAAAGCUGUCUUAGAGCCUUUGCAGAGCAAGGAUCUUGAGGUGUCUGUAGAGAGGAAUGAACAAACUGAAAAAGCCAUAAUUUUGUUGCCCAUGUGAACUACAGCAACAGAAAAUGGCCAUCCCUUAACGCUGGAUAUGUACAAGAUUAAAGCUCCUUGUAUUUUACUUUGUGAUUUCAAGCAAGGAUCACCUCCUCCAAGCUCAAGAGUAAUACAUCCCAACAAAGAAGAAGUUAGGCAAAGAUGCCAGGAGGCCUCCAUGGAGCUCCUGGCUAAAACUGAAACACAAAAAGGAAGCCUACAGAUGGUGGAAGCAAGAACAGCAAACCUGUGAAUAAUAGAGACAUUUUCUGAACAUCCAGGGAUUGAAUUAAGAAAGCUAAGGCCCAGAUAGAAUUGAAUCUUUCUAGGGACGCCAAGGGCAACAAUAAGGGUGGAGCAUCAAAGGAUGGAGCACCUCUCCAGAGGCUGAGAGAUUUGGGACUGUUCAGCCUGAAGGGAAUAUGCAAUGAGAACAGAGCCAGGCUCUUUCCAGUGGUGCCCAGUGCCAGGACAAGAAGCAAUGGGCACAAAUUGGAACACAGGAGUUUGCAUCUGAACAACAGGAAGCUCUUCUUUAAUGUGUGGGUAAUGGAGCACUGGCACAGGUUGCCCAAAGAGGUUGUCUCCCUUCUUGGAGCUCUUCAAAAGCCAUCUGUCCAUGGCAUGGGCACCCUGCUCUGGGUGCCUUUUCUUGAGCAGGACUGUUGGACCAGAUGAGCUCCAACCUCAACCACUCUGUUAUCUUGUGAGUCCAUGAUUCAAUAAUACCUUUACCACAUUGCCAGUUACUGAUUCAGAAAAAAA
rnacentral:lncRNA from 1 species